rnacentral:rRNA from 1 species
UACAGAGGUCUCAAGCGUUGUUCGGAUUCAUUGGGCGUAAAGGGUGCGUAGGCGGCGUGGUAAGUCGGGUGUGAAAUCUCGGAGCUUAACUCCGAAACUGCAUUCGAUACUGCCGUGCUUGAGGACUGGAGAGGAGACUGGAAUUUACGGUGUAGCGGUGAAAUGCGUAGAGAUGUGGAGGAACACCAGUGGCGAAGGCGACUCUUUGGUCUGUAACUGACGCUGAGGCGCGAAAGCGUGGGGAGCAAACAGG